AAAGGAAUGAUAAAAAAGACUAGUUUUAAUUUGUUGCUGUGCUAUUUUUCUGUAUCUGUAUAAAAAGACAAAAAAAAAAAGAAAAGUAAGGAAGGAAAGGGAGGAAUGGAAGGAAAGGAAGAAAAGCAAAAACAAAUCAAAAGAAGAAGAAAACAGAACCAUUCAGUCCUUAAAUCAAGGACUGUCAGGACAAGUAGCCUUGGAAACAGUUUCAUGUUUAUUCAUCAUUUUCAAGGAAGCAGGAUUUCAUGUUUGGUUUUAAUAAUAACUGAGAGAGAAUCAGAAAGGAAAUAACAUUAAUAACUCUCCUCCCAUCUGCAAACUGAUUUCCACAGAGAACAGUCCAGCAAGAUUUUGGUAGACUGCAUAAUAUCAACCAAGGCUGUUUCAGAAUACUGCUGUUUUGCAGAGCCAGCCAUGAUGGGAUGCCUCUGUUCAUCUGGUAGACUUCCAUGGACAGCUUUGGAAUCACCUUCUCACCAACAAAAAGUCACCUGAAGAAUCAAAUACACCAUCUGGUCAGAGUAAUGUACUAACAGGCUCAAGGGAAUUGUUUACCAAAGCCUGCUGAGCCAGACAGACCAACGGACGUAUUGUGAAAUGGAUAGUCUCCCAGUGAGACUACCUAAAAAGACACAAAUAAUAGUCCUUGAGUGACACUAGACCAGAUGAUCACCUUUCCUUUCCAGUGAAACCCAGAUAUUGUAAUGUGCUUCAGGAAAUCCCCUAUUAAGAAAUGCCUGAAAGGCAAGGACUGAGACUCAUCCAAUUGCAACAGUGAGCAGCUUUCACAGAGAAAAGCAGAGAAUAGAGUCACACUUGGCUUCAGAGCAGAAAUCUGGCAACUAGCUUUGCUUGGCUCCUGAGAAUAUUCCUGACGGCAGGUGAGAACCAGCUCUAAACUGGGGUGGCAUCAGCAGUGCACUGGGAGACAAUCACUAUAAAGAAGUGAACAAAGAAUCUUGGCUGGAUAUUUCAGUGAUGGGGAUAGCAGCUUCUGACAAGUAGUCAUUGUGAACAAAAUGAAAGA
ensembl:lncRNA